rnacentral:lncRNA from 1 species
CGGGGAUGAAGUUCGGCUCCCGUAGAAGUCCGGAUGAAGUCUACUCACAGUUGAAGUCGGGGACGAAGUCUGGCUCCCGUAGGAGUCCGGACAGAGUCUUCCUGCAGUUGAAGUCGAGGAUGAAGUCCGGCUCCUGUGGGAGUCCGGACGAAGUCUACCUGCAGUUGAAGUCGGAGAUGAAGUCCGGCUCCCGUGGGAGUCCGGAUGAAGUCUAGCAGGUGGUCGACCACCGUCAAAACUUGGGUGGAGUCCGACCGUCGUGGAGAAUUCGGCCUACACUAGUGGGGGUUUAUCCGUCGGCAGAGCUUGGGAACGUUGCAGGGGCUCGGCCGUCGGAGAGGUUCGGAAAGAUGUCAUCGAAGGUCGGACGUCGGUAGAAUUCUUGGAGGGUCAUUCCUGUCAUGAACUUCGGC